rnacentral:rRNA from 1 species
UACAGAGGUCUCAAGCGUUGUUCGGAUUCAUUGGGCGUAAAGGGUGCGUAGGUGGCGCCGUAAGUCAGGUGUGAAAUUUCGGGAGCUUAACUCCGAAACUGCAUUUGAUACUGCGGUGCUUGAGGACUGGAGAGGAGACUGGAAUUUACGGUGUAGCAGUGAAAUGCGUAGAGAUCGUAAGGAAGACCAGUGGCGAAGGCGGGUCUCUGGACAGUUCCUGACACUGAGGCACGAAGGCCAGGGGAGCAAACGGGG